AAACGAGGUUAUCCUCCCAAGCUUGUGGGUGGUUAUAGUCAUGGUACAAAUGUGUUAUAAAUAUUUGAAGUUAAACAAAUCUAAGAAAAUAAGUUUUGUCGAGGUUCGAAAUUUAAUUGAUGAAAUACGGUCCAAGCUAUAGUAUUCUGUAUUUUUGGACUAGAAAAAUUUAAUCGUCCAAUAUGAGUAAAAUUACCCGAGCCCGAAAAAUUCGAUCAUAUUCAAGGUUGAAAAUCGAGAGCUCGAUGUACAAAGAGUUUGAGGUCCCGAAAUAAUUUAGGACUUAACAAGUGUGACCACGGUGAUUGAGAAUAAUAUUUUAUGUGUACCAAAAGGGACUAUGGACUAGUGCUAUGUCACAUAAUCAUGGAAAUGGGUAUAUGAAGUGUAUAAAAAAUAAUUGUUAUUAAAGUGAAUUGAGAUCAAUAAAUUAAUUAUGUGUGCGAUUGAUUAAACGGGAGAUUGUAGUGGAAAAGGAUAAAUCGAUUAAGAUUUUUGGAUAAAUAUUAUAUGGGUAUAAUACACAUGGAUUGGUGAUAUGUAGGCAUUCGGUGGAAGGGAUACAACAUCAUUUGUAAUUGUCUACGAAAGUUACAUGUGUAUUAAAAGGUGUAGUGGCAUGGUGGGCCAAAAGUUGACACAUGUAAAGCUAAAGAGGUGACUUAAAGUGCCUAUAUCUUGUCUUAACUUUUCAUUAAGGAAUAUAGCUACCUGAAACCUUAUUUCAUAGGGACACAGCAAAAACGUGAUUUCCAAGUAAAUUUUGUAGCACGUCGCUUGCAAUUGCAAAGAAUGAAAAUAUAAUUCAUUACAAGGACAUCAUACAGAUUUUGCACACUUUGUUCUAUUUUAUCGCAUCGUUAAAUUCGGCCUUUUUUUCGAAGGGAAGUAAGGUGGAAGAAGAACAUUUUUGACAUAUAAGGUGGUGGCUUCCUAUGUAAUAACAAUUCUUUUGUGAAUUGAUUGUACGUGGAUCCCACUGUCCACUAAAACACAUAACUCUCUUUUGGCUUAUUAAAUUAUGACUUCAUCUUGGUACAAGCUAGAAAAGGAUGUUGUAAUGAGUUAUGCAUAGAAGAAACGUGAGGUGGAAAGUUAAAUUCAAGGAACAGCGUUCUUUCACUGUCGGAGAAAACUCAUUUUGGGAAAGGGACAAAGCGUGUCUAACAGUGUUGCUGCCAUCCCUUCUUAUUUAAAGUGUGAAAAAGGAUUUGCAAUAGAGACUUGUAAAUGAUGGCUCGAGCCAAAAUAUUCAGUAGCACUACAGCCACGUACAAUGGUUAAAGGGGCGACGAAGCGAACUUGGUUACGGUUAACCUAUAAAAGGUACAGAUAGUCGGUUUGGUGACCCUUUAGCAUAGGAUUUCUACUCAGCUAUCUUGGAGAGCUCCGUUGUUUCGGAGUUUAGACUUUCAGUACAGAUCUUGUGAGAUAUAUAUGUAUAUGUUAUCCAGGGGUACGGCGGGGCCCUGUCCCGUCAUAUGUUACUGUUGAUACUCUUAGAGGUCUGUAGAUAUAUAUGUGGGUUGUGUACAGGUUUGAUCAGCUGUGUCUCUGUGUAUGGGUUCUGUUCAGCUGUGUCUAUACGAUGUGCUGUGGUAUGAUGUUCGUCUAUAUUGGCAGCCUUGUCGGCUUGCAUAUGAUAUUGAUAUGUGAUGGCAGCCUUGUCGGCUUGCGUAUUAUUUCAUGAUAGGAUUAGUUGUGACUCCUCAGGAGACAGUGAUCUGGAAGUAUGUAUAUAUGUGACGAUGUAACGAA